rnacentral:lncRNA from 1 species
CUUUCAGGAUUCCUGGGCUGGGGACAGGGAGAGGAAGAAGAGAAAGAUCCGCCAUGCUGGAAAAAGGAGAACUAAGAUGCCACACCCGAGAAGCUCAGGACAGAGAACAUAGCCGCCAUAUUGGAGGGACUCCAUCCAAUAAAGGCAAAUAAAGAGAGCCUGAAAGUAUAGCUUGGCACCUACGCAGCAAGCCACUCCUGUCUACAGUGCUCAUGAACCUUCCAGAAUCAUGGAGAAGACCUGCCGUGCAUGGCCCUUAUUGCAAACUGAAAGUGUUUCGAGGCCCAAGGUGGAAAGAAAAAAAAAAGAAGAAAGCAAACCUGGGAAACACAGAAUUCAUUCAGCCCCUUGUAGUCCCGCACUUUGGUCACAGAGGAAACAUCCCCUGACAGCCUGGUGUUCGAAUCUAAUGUGGUCAAAGCAAACUAUGGAGCCGGACCUAUGCAAAUCUCUACAGAAACUCGAGGUUUGCUUCUGCCACAUCUGGGUCUCCCGAGGUCGGAGAGGAUCGUCUUUAAUAUUCCUUGGUAGAUUCCAGGAUCCUACAAGCCACAACCUCUUCGCCGUAUUUCCCAGGAGCAGCCCCCAUCCAUGGUUUGGAGGACUCGACCCUAUGGAGCGCCCUGGCCUGGAGGUGUGCAGGUUAGAAGGAACCCCAGCUGUGGCACCUCACUAUCCUUCUCUUUCCCGACCCGUUCAAAAAUAAAAAAAUAAACCCCAAU